CCUACGGGUGGCAGCAGUGGGGAAUAUUGCACAAUGGGGGAGACCCUGAUGCAGCGACGCCGCGUGAGUGAGGAAGUAUUUCGGUAUGUAAAGCUCUAUCAGCAGGGAAGAAAAUGACGGUACCUGACUAAGAAGCCCCGGCUAACUACGUGCCAGCAGCCGCGGUACUACGUAGGGGGCAAGCGUUAUCCGGAUUUACUGGGUGUAAAGGGAGCGUAGACGGAUUUGCAAGUCUGAUGUGAAACUCCGGGGCUCAACCCCGGAAGUGCAUUGGAAACUGUAUUUCUAGAGUGUCGGAGAGGCAAGUGGAAUUCCUGGUGUAGCGGUGAAAUGCGUAGAUAUCAGGAGGAACACCAGUGGCGAAGGCGGCUUGCUGGACGAUGACUGACGUUGAGGCUCGAAAGCGUGGGGAGCAAACAGGAUUAGAUACCCUUGUAGUC
rnacentral:rRNA from 1 species